rnacentral:rRNA from 1 species
ACAUCAAAUCGUACCCCAAACCGACACAGGUGGUCAGGUAGAGAAUACCAAGGCGCUUGAGAGAACUCGGGUGAAGGAACUAGGCAAAAUGGUGCCGUAACUUCGGGAGAAGGCACGCUGAUAUGUAGGUGAAGUCCCUCGCGGAUGGAGCUGAAAUCAGUCGAAGAUACCAGCUGGCUGCAACUGUUUAUUAAAAACACAGCACUGUGCAAACACGAAAGUGGACGUAUACGGUGUGACGCCUGCCCGGUGCCGGAAGGUUAAUUGAUGGGGUCAGCGCAAGCGAAGCUCUUGAUCGAAGCCCCGGUAAACGGCGGCCGUAACUAUAACGGUCCUAAGGUAGCGAAAUUCCUUGUCGGGUAAGUUCCGACCUGCACGAAUGGCGUAAUGAUGGCCAGGCUGUCUCCACCCGAGACUCAGUGAAAUUGAACUCGCUGUGAAGAUGCAGUGUACCCGCGGCAAGACGGAAAGACCCCGUGAACCUUUACUAUAGCUUGACACUGAACAUUGAGCCUUGAUGUGUAGGAUAGGUGGGAGGCUUUGAAGUGUGGACGCCAGUCUGCAUGGAGCCGACCUUGAAAUACCACCCUUUAAUGUUUGAUGUUCUAACGUGGACCCGUGAUCCGGGUUGCGGACAGUGUCUGGUGGGUAGUUUGACUGGGGCGGUCUCCUCCUAAAGAGUAACGGAGGAGCACGAAGGUUGGCUAAUCCUGGUCGGACAUCAGGAGGUUAGUGCAAUGGCAUAAGCCAGCUUGACUGCGAGCGUGACGGCGCGAGCAGGUGCGAAAGCAGGUCAUAGUGAUCCGGUGGUUCUGAAUGGAAGGGCCAUCGCUCAACGGAUAAAAGGUACUCCGGGGAUAACAGGCUGAUACCGCCCAAGAGUUCAUAUCGACGGCGGUGUUUGGCACCUCGAUGUCGGCUCAUCACAUCCUGGGGCUGAAGUAGGUCCCAAGGGUAUGGCUGUUCGCCAUUUAAAGUGGUACGCGAGCUGGGUUUAGAACGUCGUGAGACAGUUCGGUCCCUAUCUGCCGUGGGCGCUGGAGAACUGAGGGGGGCUGCUCCUAGUACGAGAGGACCGGAGUGGACGCAUCACUGGUGUUCGGGUUGUCAUGCCAAUGGCACUGCCCGGUAGCUAAAUGCGGAAGAGAUAAGUGCUGAAAGCAUCUAAGCACGAAACUUGCCCCGAGAUGAGUUCUCCCUGACCCUUUAAGGGUCCUGAAGGAACGUUGAAGACGACGACGUUGAUAGGCCGGGUGUGUAAGCGCAGCGAUGCGUUGAGCUAACCGGUACUAAUGAACCGUGAGGCUUAACCUUACAACGCCGAAGGUGUUU